rnacentral:lncRNA from 1 species
UCAGCUCAUUGCAACCUCCACCUUCUGGGCUCAAGCAAUCCUCUUACCUUAGCCUCCUGAGUAACUGAGACCACAAGCAUGCACCACCAUACCAGAAUUUGCUCUAUCCUCAACGUUGCAAAAUGUCUGGGCAUAGGCUGUGUUGCAUUUCUCACGUACAGUAUGAGCAGAGAAGCUUACCCAUUCUGUUGCAGCAGGUCCAGAGAAGUCUCACUGAAGUGCUUUGGUUUUUAUUGAAUUGCAUGCUUAUUAUGUCUGGACAAGAAGAUGUGUACAUGAAGAGGAUGUUUUGAUAGGCCUGACCUGAGAGCUGUAUGCUCACAAUAAAAGCUAGAGACACAGUCAUUUGACAUUAAAACAACUGAGAAAAGAUGAUGAAUCUUGAGAAGAAAUUGGGAUAUUAUGUACAAAAGAGGCGUUAUAAUACUUUAUGGCCAAAACGAAAACAAAAGAAAAAAAAAGCAAGAAAACAAACAAAAUCAAAAAACAAAAAAACUAGCAAUGUUCCACCAUAAAGUUUAAAUGGAUCUUACUUUGGUUCAGACUUUAGAAACGAUUGACAUCUGGGUUAUGUAUAUUUCACUUCCCACGUUCUGCACGGUAAUCUUCUAAACUUUAGCAACUUAUCUUAUUAAUUCCUUUAGGCUUGAUAUGAAGCCUGCCCCAGAUAAGUGCCUCAUAAAAGAAGAAUAAACAAAUGAAUGAAUAAAAGCAAAUGCCAUACUAUAGACUUUUGAGUAAAAAGAUUUUCUCUACAACAUAUUAAAAGAAUGAACCAGCAGAACAAACUUCAAACUUUAAAACAAUGUUGUUUAAGUUAGUCAUGUCUGAGAUGAUAAAUAAAUCAACAGGAGAAAAGUGAACUUCAAAACAUGUAUCUUUAGGAGGAUUUGAAUUGGAAAACCACUGACACUUAAUUGCUAAAGUGACUUUGACUAGUUAUUCAUCUAUGGAAUAGGAAGAAAACUUACUUGAUCGUGUUGGCAUGAUGAUUAAACAUGACUUAUGUACAUGCAAGUGCUGAGCACUAGUCUAUAACCUCUAUGGGCAUUGCGAUCACUAUGACAUAUCCAGAGACUAGCUCAAUUUCUAGUACAUUGGAGGCACUUGAUAAAUGUUUCCUUAAUUUGAAAUCUGAGAACAGGACAUUAAGCAACCUGAAGCAUCUGACAUUUGUCAUGUAGCCAAAUGCAUACUCAUUGAGCAAGAUGACUGAUGAUGAUUGGUCAUGAUGAUGACAGCAAUGAUGAUAAUGAUGACGAUAGUGAGGACGACAAACUCAUGCCUUGAUGUACUUUUUCAAGAGUUAGGUGUUUUCCUUUUAAUAUUUUUCAGAAUUUUUUUAACACAA